rnacentral:rRNA from 1 species
AGUGAACGCUGGCGGUAGGCCUAACACAUGCAAGUCGAACGGCAGCACAGUAAGAGCUUGCUCUUACGGGUGGCGAGUGGCGGACGGGUGAGGAAUACAUCGGAAUCUACUUUUUCGUGGGGGAUAACGUAGGGAAACUUACGCUAAUACCGCAUACGACCUACGGGUGAAAGCAGGGGAUCUUCGGACCUUGCGCGGUUGAAUGAGCCGAUGUCGGAUUAGCUAGUUGGCGGGGUAAAGGCCCACCAAGUCGACGAUCCGUAGCUGGUCUGAGAGGAUGAUCAGCCACACUGGAACUGAGACACGGUCCAGACGCCUACGGGAGGGAGCAGUGGGGAAUAUUGGGCAAUGGGCGCAAGCCUGAUACAGCCAUACCGCGUGGGUGAAGAAGGCCUUCGGGUUGUAAAGCCCUUUUGUUGGGAAAGAAAAGCAGCAGGUUAAUACCCCGCUGUUCUGACGGUACCCAAAGAAUAAGCACCGGCUAACUUCGUG